UACGUAGGGUGCAGGCGUUAAUCGGAAUUACUGGGCGUAAAGCGUGCGCAGGCGGUUUGCUAAGACAGGUGUGAAAAUCCCCGAGCUUAACUUGGGAACUGCGCUUGUAACUGGCAAGCUAGAGUGUGGCAGAGGGGGGUGGAAUUCCUGGUGUAGCGGUGAAAUGCGUAGAUAUCAGGAGGAACACCGGUGGUGCAGACGGCUCUCUGGACCGUAACUGACGCUAGACACGAAAAAGCGUGGGGUAGCAA
rnacentral:rRNA from 1 species